AAAACAGGUGCCCCUAUCAAACGCCAUCGGCCAUACAUCUUAAACAAUCGUGGGUACCCUUCUAGCCGUGUAAUUUCCAACGUAUGAACAGGAAUCGCUGUCGGAUCUUGUUUUUGGCUUCUUCCACCUCUUGAAUCAUCCAUCAACACAGAUUCCUGAAGUGGGUUUUACAGAAAUCAUCUUUAAAAAACAGCUUCUUUGGAACUUGUGCAUUGGUGACCAUUUGGUUUAAGAAUUGUGUUGCAAAUUUCGAUAUCGAUCAAGGUUCGUGCGAAAAAGAUGGUUCAGAAACUUGAAGACAUAAAAAAUGGUGGAGGAUCGAUCAAGAUUGGCGCCACGGGCAAAAUCAGUGCGUUAAUGUCGAGAGAAUUGCAAUCUGUGGUCAAAGAUGAAACACCCAAAUCACGAAAACCCACCAUUCUAGAACCGAACGAUGCUAUUCUUGGUUCAAAACUCAAAGAAAAAGCACAAAAAGAUGAAGCAAGCACCAGCAACAAGAACAAGGACAUCAAUGGCAAUUUGCCGAAAACCAAACAGAAUCAUGCAAGAAAAGCUAGUAGAAAUCCUAUCCUUAAUGCCGAUAACAAUAUAUCUAUAGAUGGAUCACCGAAUGCCAACAAGAAAAGAUCUUACAUAGUUGAAGUUGUCGACAUAAAAUGUGGAAUACCCGACAAGAUUUGGGCGAACCCCAUUAAAGAUCGACUCAAGAAGCUCACUUUCUCAAAGCUAUCAGAAACCAAUGGCGUAAACUAAACCUGCAACCUACGAACAUCCGCUUUAAGGGUCUUAUAACUGAACCCCGGUACCAUCUUCGGCCCAUGUUUCUCCACGACAUCAAUAGCAGCACACAUUCUUGUUGUUGCAGCCAUUUCUGGAACUUGUAAACUAUGCUUCUGAGAUUGUACUUCUAGCUUGUUGAAGUACUCGAUUUCUUUCAUCAUGAGCGAUCCAACGGUCCCCUUUGUCCCAAUCUUGACUGGAGUUUCUGAAGCCAUUUUUGCAGGUUUCAAUGGAACAGUGGUGGCCAUUUUUGAGGCCAUUUUUGAAGGUUUCAUAGUCAUAUAUCUUGGCUGAUGAUGAUGGAUAAUGGUGGUGAAAUUUGAAAUCUUGGUCUAUUUGAAUGAAAAGGGAGGAUCUUGUUUGUUUGUUU